rfam:Setaria italica strain Yugu1 chromosome IX, whole genome shotgun sequence.
AUUAUUGAUGAUGAUGAGAUGAUUUCGUAUAUCCUAACCGGUUUAGAUCAAGAUUACAAUCCUGUCGUGUCUUCUGUUAUGGGUCGGUAUGAUACCAUCUCCAUGAGCGAUCUUUAUGCUCAGUUGAUGGCUUAUGAUA